UGGGGUGCUCUUCAUGAUGUAUAGGAGUGCCACUAUGAGGUCCCAUGAAGAAGAAAGCGAAAAGAAAAAACUUAUUUUUUUGUAAAAUCCUAGAUCUUGAAACCCUAGGUGCUGUUGUAUGUGAUGCAAGUUGCGAAGAAACUAGUUACAUCUAAUUUUGAUUAAUUAAAAUUAUUUUGAUUUAAAAUCAUAAAAAAAUUAGAUUUGAUCUAAGAGAUUUUAUGAUUUGAUGUAAAAAUUUUACAUAAAAAAUUAUUUUUCAAAUCUUAACCAUGUUGAUGCAAAACUUAAUUAAGA
rnacentral:lncRNA from 1 species